CGGGGAGUAGCGCAGUUGGCUUAGCGCGCUUGCUUUGGGAGCAAGAGGUCGCGGGUUCGAAUCCCGCCUUCCCGACCA
rnacentral:tRNA from 1 species